GUGCUAAGGUAGCAUAAUCAUUUGCUACUUAAUUGGUAGCUGGAAUGAAAGGUUAAACUAGCUUACUCAGUUUGUUGUGUUUUGUAAGAAAUUAAAGUCGAGGUAAGAAUUCUUUGAUCUGCUAGGGGACGAUAAGACCCUAGAAGCUUAACAAUAAGAGUAUUUAUUAGUUAUAAAAAUUAAUUUGUUUUACUGGGGCGGUAAAGGUAUAUAAACUAUUAGUGUAUUGAUAGAUCCUUAAAAUAAAGAUAAAACGGGAAAGUUACUCUAGGGGUAACAGUGCAAUAUUUUUGGAGAGAUCAUAUCGAUAAAAAUGUUUGCAACCUCGAUGUUGAAUUAAGAUGUCUACCUGAAGCAGCAGGUACGUGAGAGGGUUUGUUCAACCUUUAAAUUUUUACAUGAUCUGAGUUCAAACCG
rnacentral:rRNA from 1 species